rnacentral:misc_RNA from 1 species
GAAAUGCGAUAAGUAAUGUGAAUUGCAGAAUUCAGUGAAUCAUCGAAUCUUUGAACGCACAUUGCGCCCUUUGGCAUUCCGAAGGGCAUGCCUGUUCGAGCGUCAUUACACCAAUCAAGCCUGGCUUGGUAUUGGGCGACGGGGUCGGUCGAACCACCCCCCGCCCCAAAGACCUUUCCAGCGGGACGGACCGAAUCUCAGCGUUGUGCAAACGUGUCGCUGGCGAGACGGGACGGCCGUGCCGUUAAACCCCAUUUUCUUCAAGGUUGACCUCGGAUCAGGUAGGGAUACCCGCUGAACUUAAGC